rnacentral:tRNA from 1 species
UCCGCAGUAGCUCAAUUGGCAGAGCAUCCGGCUGUUAACCGGAGGGUUGUAGGUUCGAGUCCUACCUGCGGAGCCA